UGGCCCCACCAUGAUAGGGUGUGCUGUCUAUAGUUUAGAAUUUAAAUUCUUCAGAAAUAUUUUUGUACAAGUUAACCACUCUGAGUUUAGUAUAUCCGGUAAUCCUUUUUGGUACAAGUUAACUACAACGUAUAUCUGGUCAAUCACUCACUUCCUGUCAGCCUUACUGACCAGUCCGGUCUCACUUUGUCUAUCGGCUUCAAUCUUGUUAGAUGCGUGCCUCGAGCCACUAAGUAAGUCUUUUUUAUUGAAGUUAUUGCUUAAAUCUGUCAGUAUUUAAUUGUAUUUUUGAAUUUUAGUUACAGAUGACAAUUUUAUUAUGCAGAUAAAACAUUCUCAAAAGUAUGGCACGCCAUUAUGGUCUUUAAAGUAAUUUACAUAUUUUUUCUAUGUAUGAAGUAAGGUUCUAUAUUUUCCUAUUUAGUAAUUUGUUAUUUCUAUUUGUUGUAGUUUUUUACCAAUAUUAUUCACGACGGCAACGUUUUCCACACAAAAUAAACUAUGAAACCCGUGUGACUUUUGUUUGCGUUGUGCGUUGUGCAAGGUUAGCUAUCUGCCUGCACCAGGCAGAAUAGUAAAAAAUUAGUGAAUUCGUUUGGCAUGUCUGCUGAGGAUCGACGGAUACGGAAACUCACACCCAAAGGCCUCGUCAUGUUCAACGAGCAGUGUGAAAAACUGAAAAGAAAAACCGAUGAAACCUGGGCGGAAGUGGAGGAUGCUCUUGUAACAUCUGGAACAUGCGCAAAGGACUUCCACAAAAUAAGAGAAGUAGAAUGUUUAAUUUCUGUGAAAUUCAAAGAUUUCUGUAUCGCUAGUGAAGACUAUAAGAAAUAUCUACUUUCUCAAAAUACAGAGGAGGCGGUCAACUUGUUAAAUGAAUUAGAAGUUUCAAUGAACAAAUGUUUUUCAAUUGUAAAAAGAACAAGUGAUGAUUUGAAGGAAACCAAAUUUGAACUCCUUGAAACACUAAGUCAUGUGUCGUCUAAUGUAUCAAGUUUUCAAAGAGCUAAAGCGCAAGCUGAAAGGGCGAAACUAGAACUGAUCAAGAGAGAAGGUGAGCUUUUAAAACAAAAAACUGAUAUCGAAGCAAAAAUUAGUAUCGUCAGACAGGAGAAAGAAAUCAUCUCAGCAGAAGCGGACUUCACAGAAGAAGAAAAGAUUGAUCUUCCGAUCUACUCAAGGGAACAGAUGACGAGUGCGUUUAUCCUCAAACACGACCAUAACCCAUCAAAUACCGAGGAUGGCCACAUUCAACAAAAUCAACCAUAUUUUGAACAGAAUCCACCAAUCAGUGUUCAACAUCCAGAGGCGGAUGACCGACAUCCGGGAUAUCUAAAUGCAGUUAAUCAAGGUUGUGUUCCUUCAAUUCCAAUUCAUCAAAUGCAUCAAUUGUUUGCGCCUUCUAAUUCAGUGAAUCCAGUUUGUUCUACCUCGAUUUCAGUGCCUCAAGUUUGUGCUUCUCAAAAUUCAGUGUCUCAAGUGAAUGUCCCUUUAAAUUCAGUGUCUCAAGUGAAUGUCCCUUUAAAUUCAGUGUGUCAAGUGAGUGUUCCUUCAAAUUCAGUGCCUCAGAUGCGUGUUCCAAAUUCAGUUGAUCAACGGAGUGCUCCAUUGAAUGCAGCUUCUCAAGUGUUCGUUCCCUCGAAUUCAAUGCGUCAAGUUUGUGUUACUACAAAUUCAUUGCCUCAUGUAAUUACCGCUCCAAAUCUAGUACCACCACGGACCGACAACACUUCGACAAUGGCCGACUUUUCAAAGUUUUUGCUACGCAAGGAUUUUAUACUCACUAGAUUCACCAACUUUGAUGAUCGUCCAGAAAAUUUCAAUUCUUGGAGUUCUUCAUUCCGGAGUGUUACACUAGAACUUGGUGUCACAGAGUUUGAGGAAAUGGAUUUACUUGUAAAAUGGUUGGGUCCAGAGUCCUCAAAGUUUGCACGCACACUGCGCUCCGCAAACACCCACAAUCCUAGCCUAGGUGUAAAGCGUAUUUGGGAUAGACUGAACGAUAAAUAUGGGAGACCUGAGAUGGUGGAACAUGCUCUAAAACAGAAACUACACUCGUUUCCAACCCUCACAAAUAAAGAUCAUGCCAAAUUGUAUGAUCUCGUGGACAUUCUCACCGAAAUUGAAUCGGCGAUGACUAAUCCAAAAUACGAAAUUUGUCUGAGCUACUUCAAUUCAUCUACUGGAGUACUACCCAUAGUUGCCAAACUACCCAUAUCUCUACAAGACAAGUGGACCUCUCAAGCAGCUGGAUAUAAAAAACGGAAUGAUGUAGCAUUCCCUCCAUUUUCCUUUUUUGUCGAGUUCAUCCGUGAAAUGUGUGAAAUCCGUAACGAUCCUGGACUUGUAUGUCAACCGUCCACAAACACAAACAUGGCAUACAGCAAACCUAGACCUACUGGCGCAGUCACUUCUCGUAAAGUUGAAAUUGUAUCAUCAACUCCGUCAACACGUUGUCCCAUACACAAUGCUGGACAUUCUUUGAACGAAUGCCGUGGCUUCAAAAGAAAAUCACUACGUGAGCGUCAAAACAUUCUACGUGAUAAGAAAUUAUGUUUCCGAUGUUGUGCCUCACAAAGUCAUGUAUCCAAAAAUUGUACAGCGGACAUUAAAUGUGAUAUUUGUGAUAAUCCUUAUCAUGUCACAGCGAUGCACAUUGAUCGUCGUCCUUCAAACCCCGAAUCCCCUACACCAGUCUCAACAGCGAAAACUGCCUUAGGCAAUGCCAGGGAGUAUGAAGAAGGAAAACAUGGGAGUCGUUCUUGCGGGAAGAUCGUUUUAGUGGACGUGUUUUGUCAAUCAAAUCCUGCGAAAGUUAUCCGUGUUUAUGCGACAAUCGAUGACCAGAGCAACCGGACGUUGGUGUCCCCUUAUCUGAUAGAUCGACUCGGAGUUACAGGAGAAUGUAAACCCUACACUCUUACGUCAUGCUUCGGUGUAACGACAGUCGCUGGACGCCGUGUGAACGGAUUAUGUGUCAAAGCCUUGGAUGGUACAACUACAUUCAACUUACCGGAAGUCAUUGAAUGUGAUUCUAUUCCUAGUGAGCAUCUUGAAAUACCUACUCCCAAAGUCGCUCAAUCACAACCGCAUCUACAAUGCAUUGCACCUUUCAUACCACCCCUAGAUCGCAAUGUGAAUGUUGAACUGCUCAUAGGACGUGACUUACCCGAUGUACAUCAUGUGCGCGACCAAAUUACUGGCAGCCAAGGUCAACCCUUUGCUCAACGUCUUCCAAUAGGAUGGGUCGUCAUUGGUGAAAUUUGUAUUGGUAAAGUUCAUCCUCCAAAGGAAGUGAAUGUAAACAAAACGCAUAUUCUUAAUGACGGAAGGUGUACCACCUUUCCAGUGUGUCACAACAAUAUCAAUGUCAAGGACAAUGAUGAUGACAUAUUCAUACGAACACCGUUUGACAACAAGAUUGGACCUUCUGUUGAGGACCGCAAGUUUGUAGCUCUUAUGGACGCAGAGUUCCACAAAGACACUGACGGUUUUUGGUGCGCACCAUUACCUUUCAAGGAGUCAAAACCAGUGAUACCUAACAAUUAUUCACAGGCCUGGAAACGUGCUUUGAUCCUCAACACAAGUUUAAAGAAAGAUCAUCACAAACGACAACACUUCUUAGCAUUCAUGUCAAAAGUCUUAGCUAGUGGGGCAGCAGAAGUUGCUCCUUCCGACAUACCUGGGGAAUGCUGGUGUUUACCCCUUUUUGGGGUGUACAAUUCGAAAAAACCGGAUCAAAUCCGAGGAGUAUUCGACUCAUCGGCUGUGUUUCAAGACGUUUCAUUGAACAGUGUGUUAAUGUCUGGACCAGACUUAACAAACAACCUUGUUGGAAUCCUCAUGCGUUUCCGUGAAAAUGCAAUUGCUAUCAGUGGUGACAUUCAGCAAAUGUUUUAUGCAUUUCGUGAUCAUGAGGAUCAUCGUGAUUACCUCAGAUUCUUUUGGUACGAGGAUAACAACUUUGAAAAACCUUUAAUACAAUACCGAAUGAAAGCUCACGUUUUCGGUAACACACCAUCUCCAGCUGUUGCCACCUAUGGACUUCGAAAAGCAUCAUCUGUUGGUGACGAUGAUGUUCGUAAAUUUGUUUACAACAACUUUUACGUCGAUGAUGGACUGACGUCGCUUGCUACAGAAUCAGAAGCAAUCAACCUGAUGAGAAAAACACAAGCAACACUGAAAAACGACGGAAACAUUCGAUGUUCAAUCUUACUGGAUUCUAAGCACACAAGAAUUACCCAUGAAGUCCUUAGCACGUUUAUGGCUGAAGCGACAGCGAUAGUCAACGCCCGUCCACUGGUACCUGUAUCCACCGACCCUGAAGCACCUUGCGUUUUGUCUCCAGCUGUUUUACUUACUCAAAAAACCGUUGAUUCAAACGAGGAUUUUAAAAAUCUCAGUGUCAGCGAAGUUUAUAACAUUCAAUGGAAAUUUGUUCAGUCUCUAGCGGAGAAAUUUUGGUGUCGUUGGAAAAAUGAAUACCUGCAGAGUCUACAAGUGCGACGAAAAUGGAAAGACACUCGAGAUAACAUCCAAGUUGGUGAUGUCGUUCUUUUGAAGGACCGUGAUGCACAUCGCAACCAUUGGCCGACAGGACUUGUUGAAAGAGUGUUUCCUAGCAAAGAUGGACUUGUGCGCAAACUUGAAGUUCGCGUUAUCAAAGAUGGACAGUCGCGUAUAUAUGUGCGUCCGAUUUCUGAAAUUAUAUUUUUGUGUCAUUCCAUUUAAUGCUUAUUGUGUUGUGACAAUUUACAAAAACAGUUUCAUGAACAACUUUUUGUGAACAGAGUACGGUUUAUGCAUUUAAGUGAUAUUUUCAUAUCAGACGGGGAGUGUGCUGUCUAUAGUUUAGAAUUUAAAUUCUUCAGAAAUAUUUUUGUACAAGUUAACCACUCUGAGUUUAGUAUAUCCGGUAAUCCUUUUUGGUACAAGUUAACUACAACGUAUAUCUGGUCAAUCACUCACUUCCUGUCAGCCUUACUGACCAGUCCGGUCUCACUUUGUCUAUCGGCUUCAAUCUUGUUAGAUGCGUGCCUCGAGCCACUAAUUUUUUACCAAUAUUAUUCACGACGGCAACGUUUUCCACACAAAAUAAACUAUGAAACCCGUGUGA